GUCGGGGUAGCUCAGUCGGUAUAGCGACUAGCUACGGACUGGUCGACCGGGGUUCGAACCCCUACGGGGACA
rnacentral:tRNA from 1 species